rnacentral:rRNA from 1 species
UUGAAUUGAAGAGUUUGAUCAUGGCUCAGAUUGAACGCUGGCGGCAGGCUUAACACAUGCAAGUCGGACGGUAGCAGGAGAAAGCUUGCUUUCUUGC